rnacentral:lncRNA from 1 species
AAAACUGUGAAGGAGAAGAUUGCUAGUUGUGAAGAGAUAAACGAAGGACAAGGAUGACUCAGAAAUCUGUCAAGAAAAAGAACAGACACCCUUAAAAUCUUGAACCUUUCGAGAGAGACUUGAAGGGAUUGAGUGUUUAUAAAUCAAUAAAGGCUUACCAAAAAGGAAAAACCACAAUCUCUUAGGAAAAUCAGAAUAGGAAAAUCAACGGAUGAUUUUGAUUUCUUUCUAGUUGUAAGAUUUCAAUCUUUCUCUCCAACCUUCCACACAAAAGAGGAAAGGAAAAAAACUGAAUCUUGAUGAGAGGACAGAGGAGGGUGAGAGGCAUAAAAAGUCUUUCGAGAGAGGAAGUGGGUUUUGAGUUUCAGUAAAAGACUCGGAAGAAGCAGAGUUUUAGCCUGUGUUAUAUCGCUGUUUUAU